UCUUCACCGACGGGGACGACCCUGAGCUCGAGCUCCAGGGCGGCGGCCGUGUCAUCAACACCAACUGCUCCGCGGUGCGCACCCGUCAGGCCCUCUGCUGCAAGAUGUCCGUGGAGUAUGACAAGUUCAUUGAGUCUGGGCGCAAGUGGUUUUGCCACGUGGAUGAUGACAAUUAUGUGAACGCCAGGAGCCUCCUGCACCUGCUCUCCAGCUUCUCACCCAGCCAGGACGUCUACCUGGGGCGGCCCAGCCUGGACCACCCCAUCGAGGCCACCGAGAGGGUCCAGGGUGGCAGAACUGUGACCACGGUCAAGUUCUGGUUUGCUACUGGUGGGGCCGGGUUCUGCCUCAGCAGAGGCCUUGCCCUCAAGAUGAGCCCAUGGGCCAGGUGAGUGGGGGUCCGGCUGCCCGGGCUGGGAGGCGGAGGCUGAGACCUGAAAGGUGCUGACCGGCCUCCCCCCAGCCUGGGCAGCUUCAUGAGCACAGCUGAGCAGGUGCGGCUGCCGGAUGACUGCACAGUGGGCUACAUCGUGGAGGGGCUCCUGGGCGCCCGCCUGCUGCACAGCACCCUCUUCCACUCUCACCUGGAGAACCUGCAGAGGCUGCCGCCCGACACCCUGCUCCAGCAGGUUACCUUGAGCUAUGGGGGUCCUGAGAACCCACAUAACGUGGUGAACGUGGCUGGAGGCUUCAGCCUGCAUCAGGACCCCACACGGUUUAAGUCUAUCCACUGCCUUCUCUACCCAGACACGGACUGGUGUCCCAGGCAGAAACAGGGUGCCCCAACGUCUCGGUGACACCAACCACCCCUGACCCAGGGCUGCCUGGCUCUGUCCCAGGUGCGGGGAACCAGAGCCCCCUGUGGGUUCAGUGGGCUCCCUCAGGUGCCACGGCCACACCAGUGAGAUGCAGGCACCUGGCAGACCCUCUGGCUAGCCUGCAGCCCCCCUCUCCCAGCCCCUGGUGGGCUGCGGUGAUGGGUGUUUUGGGAGAACGAAGACAGCCAGGCUGAUGGCCAGGGCCAUGGUGCCCCUCCCCCCGACCCAGCCGCAAGGUUGAUCCCACGGGAACAGGCUUC
rnacentral:sRNA from 1 species